GGCUGUCCUGGAACUAGCUCUGUAGACCAGGCUGGCCUCGAACUCACAGAGAUCUGCCUGCCUCUACCUCCCGAGUGCUGGGAUUAAAAAAAUGGUGUUUUAAAGGAGACUCGAUAAUUCAGAUGCAGGUGACCUGCUGAUGGUCCUAUGCGGACUUCUGGAGCUAUUUUCUCCCUGCCUUUCCUUCUAGGUCCCGUUCCAUUCUCUUAUCUGUUGCCUGGGAACUCCAGCACUGUCUCCAGACAGUGUGUCUCCAGCUGGCCCCAGCAGGCCAGCUCAGCCAGCAGCCAGCAGGCUGCACUCUGGUCUACUGUGCCCAUCACCCAGGAAGCCAGUCUCUAGGAGUUCACUGUAGAAAACAGCAGAACGAAGGAGCAUCGCACAGUCAGGAAUUAAGAACCACAAAGAUGAGAAGACAGAUCAGAGAGGAGGCAGCAUUUGCCUGGAGUCACACAGCAUCCCCAGCUACUGUUUUCCCACUCCAAAUCCAGGCCUGGGUACAGGCUUUCAUCAGAGGGACAAGACUGCACGCAGGAGCUCCAGCAGGCUCGGAUUCUUCCGCCAACUCACACUGCCCUUUUCCCAAACUGAGGAGGUACCCACCUGAGGAUCUGGGGUGUGAGCACGGCAGGCAGAGCUAAGAAGCACAGCCAGGUCCUGUCCUAAUGAUUGUCUCCACGUCCCAGGGCUUAAGCCCCUCCAUGGCCCUUUAUGAACCAGCGGGGUGUGGCGUGAGAGAGGGAAAGGGUGCGGCUGAAGACACCUGCACUGAGACACGCCCUCUCCCGGCCCUGCCAGGGGACGUGCUGAGGCUGGACUUGAUACUGGAGCUGCCUCUUGGAUGACCGAGGCCCUCCCUGAAAACCACAGCGGUCCCAUCCUGUCAAGUUCAUGGCUCCCACCGGCUCCAGAGUCGCUUAGGGAUGGGUUUCACAGGGACGAGUGACCUGUCCAGCUCCCUACAGUCCUACAGCCCUUCCUCAGAGGCUCGGAACCCUGCAUCAGGAGCAAGGACUCCUCCCCCCUCUUCCUUUUCCCUCCCUCCUUCAUUCCCUUUCUCUCUCUCUCUCU